rnacentral:misc_RNA from 1 species
GAUGAAGAACGUAGUAAAACGCGAAAGGUAGUGUGAAUUGCAGAAUCCGUGAAUCAUCGAAUCUUUGAACGCACAUUGCGCCCUCUGGUAUUCCAGAGGGCAUGCCUGUCUGAGCGUCAGUAAACUCUCAUCUCCUAUUUAUGGGAGAAGGUCAUGGACCCCAAUGAGUUGUGAUCUUUGAAAGAAAAUAAUUCUGGUCUGAAAAGGAUAGCCCGUUGAUAUUUCAACCGCGGUGUGAUAGGUUUAUCCACCUCACCAAGGCUCUUGAAAAGAAUCACGGCAAAAUUAUAUUUAUUUCUUUGACCUCAGAUCAGGUAGGAAUACCCGCUGAACUUAAGCAUAUCAAUAAGCGGAGGA